rnacentral:rRNA from 1 species
CACGCCNUAAACGAUGUCGAUUAGCUGUUGGGCAGCAUGACUGCUUAGUAGCGAAGCUAACGCGUGAAAUCGACCGCCUGGGGAGUACGGUCGCAAGAUUAAAACUCAAAGGAAUUGACGGGGACCCGCACAAGCGGUGGAUGAUGUGGAUUAAUUCGAUGCAACGCGAAGAACCUUACCUGGUCUUGACAUGUACGGAACCCUCCAGAGACGGAGGAGUGCCUUCGGGAGCCGUAACACAGGUGCUGCAUGGCUGUCGUCAGCUCGUGUCGUGAGAUGUUGGGUUNNNNNNNNCAACGAGCGCAACCCUUGUCAUUAGUUGCCAUCAUUAAGUUGGGCACUCUAAUGAGACUGCCGGUGACAAGCCGGAGGAAGGUGGGGAUGACGUCAAGUCCUCAUGGCCCUUAUGACCAGGGCUUCACACGUCAUACAAUGGUCGGUACAGAGGGUAGCCAAGCCGCGAGGCGGAGCCAAUCUCACAAAACUGAUCGUAGUCCGGAUUGCACUCUGCAACUCGAGUGCAUGAAGUCGGAAUCGCUAGUAAUCGCAGGUCAGCAUACUGCGGUGAAUACGUUCCCGGGUCUU